GGACAGCUGCCAGCUGGAGGACAGGAAGGCAGGAUGGUCACUGUGCUCUCUCCAUCAUCCUCUCCUGCUUGUGGCUCCUGUAACCCCUCUGAUGCUGCUCUGCCUUGCUGUGUGACCCCAGAACAUCACCCCCUUCUCUGAGCCUCCAGUCCUUGCUAGUGGAAUGAAGGGCUGGGUGGGGUGAGCCCCUGUGGUCCUUUGCAUUUUCUCAUUCAGUUAUGACAGCUCCACUGUAAGAGAUCUUGAAAGCACUCUUUCAGAGGUGCUUUGAAAACAGCUCAGGGGCCAUCCAGAAUGGUGUUCCUACGCCUACUGCCUCACCUCUCAGGGCCUCAGUUUUCCCAUCUGUACAGUGAUCCUGUUGGACCAGAUGAAAUCUUUCCACCUGGUGCCAGUUAAAUCCUCUGAGGAGAUCCCAAGGUUUAAUUAACGUUGGCAGCUGCUCCAGCCUGUGCAACAUAGCAAGACCCGAUCCCUCCAGAAAAUAAUAAAUAAGAGCUGCCCUAAUUCCUCCUGGGCCAUCUCCCAUGGGCUCUGGACGGCCUGGAUACACAAGCUGGACACAGAAGGACAGGCCUGAGCUUCAAGAAGCAGAUGCAGGUAUAAAAUGGGCCGGAGAAAGAUACAGAGGUAGGGAGGGG